rnacentral:siRNA from 1 species
GUGAUAUUGUUGGUUGGUUGGUA